GUGGGGAAUCUUGCGCAAUGGGCGAAAGCCUGACGCAGCCAUGCCGCGUGAAUGAUGAAGGUCUUAGGAUUGUAAAAUUCUUUCACCGGGGACGAUAAUGACGGUACCCGGAGAAGAAGCCCCGGCUAACUUCGUGCCAGCAGCCGCGGUAAUACGAAGGGGGCUAGCGUUGCUCGGAAUUACUGGGCGUAAAGGGCGCGUAGGCGGACAGUUUAGUCAGAGGUGAAAGCCCAGGGCUCAACCUUGGAAUUGCCUUUGAUACUGGCUGUAGUGAGUACGGGAGAGGUGAGUGGAACUCCGAGUGUAGAGGUGAAAUUCGUAGAUAUUCGGAAGAACACCAGUGGCGAAGGCGACUCACUGGCCCGUUACUGACGCUGAGGCGCGAAAGCGUGGGGAGCAAACAGGAUUAGAAACCCGGGUAGUCC
rnacentral:rRNA from 1 species